UACUGAGGUGCCGAGGCUCCCACCUGUAGUCAGCUGCUGGACGUGUACGAGUCUCGUCUCACCUUCCCUCGUCCUAGCACUGGCAACACCUACCAGUGCCACUUCCUGCAAGGCACUGCAGCAGCGUGACACUGCUUUUGAGGUGAAAUCGAAUGAUGUGGCACAAAUGACAUUUCCUGGUAUCCGGGAGGAGAGGGAGGCAACAGGCGAGGGAGUACUAACAGGCGAGUCACGUGACGCGACCAGACAAGAAUGAGUCGCGUCUGGGACAUAGUAACAUAUGUGGCUUUGUAAAUAAUUAUUAUAGCAAGGGGCGCAAAUGCCUCCAUCAAAACAGUUCAUUAUCAUCUGUCUGAGUUACAAUAUCUACGUAUAC